rnacentral:rRNA from 1 species
UACGAAGGGGGCUAGCGUUGCUCGGAAUCACUGGGCGUAAAGGGUGCGUAGGCGGGUCUUUAAGUCAGGGGUGAAAUCCUGGAGCUCAACUCCAGAACUGCCUUUGAUACUGAAGAUCUUGAGUCCGGGAGAGGUGAGUGGAACUGCGAGUGUAGAGGUGAAAUUCGUAGAUAUUCGCAAGAACACCAGUGGCGAAGGCGGACUCUUG